AUGGCUCGAGGACAGGGACUACCGAAGAAAAAGGUGUCAUUGUCGUCGAUACCAUCUGGUGUUCACAAGCAUACCACAAGAAGCAAUGGAGAUAACAAUGAUGACAAGGGAACCGAAAGCAACGUGGAAGAUACUGAGAAUGAGAUGGCAUCACGCAAGACCGAAGAACCAAGUAACAACACCAUAAUUGGGGGAGGCGAAACUUUGGGAGGAUGUAAUCAAAGACAAUAG